rnacentral:rRNA from 1 species
UUUUUAAAUGGAAUCUUGUAUGAAUGGUCGAACAAAAGAAAAACUGUCUUUAAAAUAAUAUUUGAAUUUAACUUUUAAGUGAGAAGGCUUAAAUAUAUUAGGGGGACGAUAAGACCCUAUAAAGCUUUAUAUUAUGGUUGAAUUUAAUUGAAUUUUAAUAAUAAGAAUUUAGUUUAAUUGUUUUAUUAUGUUGGGGCGACAAAAGUAAAAGUUGUAAUAACUGCUAGUAAGGAAGACAAUUAUAAGUGGGUUAACAGGGUAAAAGAUCCUAUGUUUAGAUUAUAAGAUUAAGUUACUUUAGGGAUAACAGUGUAAUUUUUUUCGAGAGUUCAUAUCGAAAAAAAAGUUUGCGACCUCCAUGUUGAAUCA